GUAGUUUUCAAUAGUUAGUAAAACAUGCAGGUUGUAACAGUCCACAACCUUUAUGCUUUAUCAUCUGAGUAUGCCAAUACUGUAACUAAGGGCAACCAUUCAUGAAACUUCCCAUUUUCACUAUUUUUUAAGUAAUGCUCAAAACCACAGUCAGAACCGGAAACCUAAUGUAUUUGGCACAGCACCAAAGGCAUGAAAUGAAAGAAGGAAAUCUUAUGCAAGAUUUGUAACAAAAUAAAAGAUUUCCCAGGUCUCAAGAAAAUUAAGAUACAUGUUUUUGCUUCUGUACUUUUAUUAUAUAAUUUAUAGUAUCAUAAAGCAUUGGUAUACUUAACAAUGCAUUUCUUCACCCUCGUCAUGCCCCCCCCCCAAACAACACUGGUGACAAAAAUAAUCACAGCUCCACUGAACUACUAUUUCACGUCCUACUGUCCACAUACCCUCAAACCUCAGAGUCAAGUGGUUUACUUUUUGAUCACUCAUAACAGCAGUGGUUAAGAAGUCCAACGCCACCAAGCUACCUUCAUCCUGUCCCACACAGCUGAGAGAGAAUCAAACGCAGGACGAACGUCCAAGAUAGUGAACUGGUAGUUCUUAUCUACUGCACCACCGUCAUAGUAAUCGAUAACAUAUCGCACUUCUUUUCCACAUCGGUCAACAAUCCAAUCAUGUCUGUCAAAGGGAAGUUCAUAUCCCAUCCAUGAACGUAUUCUGGCUCGUGGUGAAUACUCCUUCGCUUUGCCUCCAAACCGCAUCAGGGACGGUCCACAAGGACAUUCCACAGCAUGAAGAGCUUCCCACUUCAAAAUCUCCUUCCAAGCUUGCUCAUUAUUUUGAUUGUGAAUCUUAAUGAUGUUAGUCAUAUCUUCACUUGUUAUGUCAUCAUCUUUCCACCUCCACCCUUUUCUUAGCAUAGCAUUCCAAAACAUCUGCUCUGAAGGAUAGACCCAUUUCUUGUCAGAGUGUGCCCUAGGAAUGGAAGAUUCUUCUCUAACAGUUGACAAUGGAAAUGGUUGAUCUGGAGAUGGUAACUGAUUAGGAGGAGGCAUCAUAUUGCUAGGAUCUAUGUCAUCGUUCACUUGAGAUGCCCCAGACUUCACAGGACAUGCUACGUAUUCAUAUGCUCUUUCCUGAUGUGCAGGAACAUCGUCUGUGUUCUCAGCCCUACGGUCAGAAGCCUUCAUGUGCAUUGGACAACCUCUCAUUUUCUCCUGAUGCAUGGGGCAUUCUGAAGGCGGAGAGGCUACCUGGUGCUGUUUGGAUGGCUCAGCUGCUGACUGAGCUGUGGCGGCUGGGGAGGAUGCAGACAGACCCAUGGCUGCUGAAAUGGGGCUUUUUAGUUCAAGUUUCCGCAGGCAAGGUCAAGCCCGCCCCAAUUCGCCAAUCAGAGCCGGGCCGGGCCGGGCCCGGCGCCACGGCCUGCGCUGCGCCGCGCCGCACCGCAGAUCCCGCCGCCUCCCGCGUCGAGUCGCUUCGCUUUCCUUCGCCCGCCCUCACCUCUGCCCGGCCCGCGCCCCCGGCGACCCC
rnacentral:lncRNA from 1 species